rnacentral:rRNA from 1 species
ACGAGAACGUCCUGGCUUUGCCAGGACAAGUACAGUGGCGGACGGGUGCGUAACGCGUAGAUAACCUGCCCUCAGGCGCGGGACAAUCACGGGAAACCGUGGCUAAUACCGCACGUCGUCUGGACCCCGCAUGGGGACCAGAUGAAAGCCUUCGGGCGCCUUUGGAUGGGUCUGCGUCGGAUUAGCUUGUUGGUGAGGUAACGGCUCACCAAGGUAACGAUCCGUAGCUGGUCUGAGAGGACGAUCAGUCACACUGGGACUGAGACACGGCCCAGACUCCUACGGGAGGCAGCAGUGGGGAAUAUUGCGCAAUGGGGGAAACCCUGACGCAGCGACGUCGCGUGAAGGAAGAAGGCCUUCGGGUCGUAAACUUCUAUGAAUCGGGAAGAAAAGAGACGGUACCGAAAGAUGAAGCCACGGCUAACUACGUGCCAGCAGCCGCGGUAACACGUAGGUGGCAAGCGUUGUCCGGAAUUACUGGGUGUAAAGGGUGCGUAGGCGGGUAUGCAAGUCAGAUGUGAAAUACCGGGGCUCAACUCCGGGGUGGCAUUUGAAACUGUGUAUCUUGAGUGCAGGAGAGGGAAGCGGAAUUCCUAGUGUAGCGGUGAAAUGCGUAGAGAUUAGGAAGAACACCAGUGGCGAAGGCGGCUUUCUGGACUGCAACUGACGCUAAGGCACGAAAGCGUGGGGAGCGAACAGGAUUAGAUACCCUGGUAGUCCACGCUGUAAACGAUGGAUACUAGGUGUAGGAGUGGUAAACACAUCUGUGCCGGAGUUAACACAAUAAGUAUCCCACCUGGGGAGUACGACCGCAAGGUGAAACCCAAAGGAAUUGACGGGGGCCCGCACAAGCAGUGGAGUAUGUGGUUUAAUUCGAGCACGCGAGACCUUACAGGCUUGACAUCAUGGGAGUCAGUAGAGUAUUGAUGUGCUUUGGACAUGAGACAGUGGUGCAUGGUUGUCUCACUCG